rnacentral:rRNA from 1 species
UACGGGGGGGGGCAAGCGUUGUUCGGAAUUACUGGGCGUAAAGGGCUCGUAGGCGGCCAACUAAGUCAGACGUGAAAUCCCUCGGCUUAACCGGGGGAACUGCGUCUGAUACUGGAUGGCUUGAGAUUGGGAGAGGGAUGCGGAAUUCCAGGUGUAGCGGUGAAAUGCGUAGAUAUCUGGAGGAACACCGGUGGCGAAGGCGGCAUCCUGGACCAACACUGACGCUGAGGAGCGAAAGCCAGGGGAGCAAACGGG